rnacentral:lncRNA from 1 species
CUUGAAAUGGGCUGAGUCCCUCUUGCUCACCCUUGACUUGGAAAAACCAGUUUCUCUUUUAUUGUCUGUUACUAAUCUCUAUUCUAAAAAUUCAGCUCAAUUCUCAACCAUACUCCAAACUCUCUCUUUUCCAGCUACCUUUACUCCCUCUCCUUCAAUUCCACUUUCCUCUGCUUACUUUUUUUUUUUUUCUGACAGGGUCUCACUUUGUCGCCCGGGCAGGAGUGCAGUGGCUCAAUCUUGGGCUCACUGCAGCCUCAACCUCCCAGAGGCGGGGUUUCACCAUGUUGCCCAGACUGGUCUUGAACUCCUGAGCUUAAGCAAUCCACCUGCCUCGGCCUCCCAAAGUGUUGGGAUCACAGGCGUGAGCCACCGCAUCCGGCCUCAUGUUCUUUUUCAUUAAAGAGAGAAAUCAACUAUUCAGGACCGGCCCCCACCUUUCCUCAGGAGUCAUUUCUGUUCCGCACAGGCCUGCUGAACUGGGUGCUUUAUAUAGGGUAAGUGUUUCUCAUUUUUUGUUCCCUGUCCUCAAGCCUUAGGGGCAAAAGAAACAUCCAAGAUUUGAAAUUUCUUUUCUUCUUCUCAUCUGCAUGGCUGUAGCCAUCUCUCUGUUCUGCAUUAUCUUAUGACAAAAAAAAAAAAUUCUUAUUUUGAAGCAAACUCAAAGCUAGGUCCUGAUGUCUCAAGGCACAGGUACUCGUACUUAAAGACACUGUCAUCUCUCAAGUACCCAUCUUGGAGGGUACGGACCCCACAUGAGGAAAGGACCAACCACACCGAGCUCAGUUAUGGCACACACAGUGGGACCUAGACAAAGGGAGAGGGUGACCGACAUCCCAACUAGGGUCCCCAGGCAGGUGGCUGGGACACUAUUUGCAAUCAGCAAGGAACCCUGCUGCCCUUAGACUCCCCACAGAGCAAGCAGAACUUGCAGAAUGGGGUAAAAACACUCUAUUAAAGAUUUUUUAAACCUAUUUAUAUUGUAAUAAAGUAAAUGUAAAUAAAAUUUA